rnacentral:rRNA from 1 species
GUGUCAGCAGCCGCGGUAAUACGUAGGGUGCAGGCGUUAAUCGGAAUUACUGGGCGUAAAGCGUGCGCAGGCGGUUUGUUAAGACAGGUGUGAAAUCCCCGGGCUUAACCUGGGAAUGGCGCUUGUAACUGGCAAGCUAGAGUGUAGCAGAGGGGGGUGGAAUUCCACGUGUAGCAGUGAAAUGCGUAGAUAUGUGGAGGAACACCGAUGGCGAAGGCAGCCCCCUGGGUUAACACUGACGCUCAUGCACGAAAGCGUGGGGAGCAAACAGGAUUAGAAACCCUUGUAGUCC